GGUAAAAUGACUGAGGAGUAGGUGAUAGAUUGUAAAUCUAUUAAGGAGAUUAAUCUCUUUUACCA
rnacentral:tRNA from 1 species